rnacentral:rRNA from 1 species
CAGCCGCCGCGGGAAUACGAAGGGUGCAAGCGUUACUCGGAAUUACUGGGCGUAAAGCGUGCGUAGGUGGUGGUUUAAGUCCGUUGUGAAAGCCCUGGGCUCAACCUGGGAAUUGCAGUGGAUACUGGGUCACUAGAGUGUGGUAGAGGAUAGUGGAAUUUCCGGUGUAGCAGUGAAAUGCGUAGAGAUCGGAAGGAACAUCUGUGGCGAAGGCGACUAUCUGGGCCAACACUGCCACUGAGGCACGAAAGCGUGAGGAGCAAACAGGAUUAGAGACCCCUGUAGUCCUGUCUCUUAUACA